CUUGAAAUAAGGCUAAAUGAGGAACAGCAGUCCUAAAAUCUUAUAUAAGAGAGGCUGGUCAGAGGGUUUGGUCUUCCUAUUAAAGUGAGAUAGCAGUGCUUUAAAAGUGUAAUGUAGUCUUUUUCUUGCUCAAUUUCUGCAGUGCUGAGCAUGCAGAAAAGAGAAUGCGUUCUUCUGAGGAGCCUGGGAAGUGCUUUUAAGUGUCUUUCUAACGUAUCUGGAAAAGCCUGAAAACAUUUUAUUUACCAAGGACUAAAACUGACUCAGGCUGAUGGAUGGAGCACAGGCACAAUCAUGCGCACAGUAAAAAACUUUGCCUUGGGAAGUCACAGAGUAAUAAUAAGAUCAGCCACUGAUCAUGACUGUGUAGAAAGAUUUCGGAAAUGUCCAAUUUGCACUCCUAAAGUACUGGUGGCAUCUGCGAGCAGCCAUCCUCGAGGGGACACUUCAUGUCUGAACUCAGCGUACGGAAGCAGCUGUUGCAGAAGACGACUCUGGAGAAACUCUAUCCAAACAAAAGAAGCAGCUAGGAGGUGACAUUUCUGAGGUACUGGAAGUGUUUGACCCCUCAACCACAGGAAUCACUGGAAAAAACAUGCUCUCUGGCUAGCAAAGAGUGCUUUGUCAUUCUGAAGUCUCCUAAAGGAAGAAGAUUUGAUUUUGUCAUAUUCUCAAGAGCAAUCAGUAAGAAAAGACUACAGUAGUGACGAUAGCAUGUAAGCAAAUGGAGAGUGAAUAUGUGGACUGGUUUUUGGUGACUGAGUAUAAUUUACUUACACAAUACUGGGACACUUCAGAUGGCUUGUGUCCACCUCCAGCCAGGCUUUUUAACUGGAUCCUUAGCAGGCUAUAUAGGUUGACUGAGAGUAGCCAUCAGUAGUGUUUCUUGGGGCGCUUCCUCUAAAAGCUAAAUGUGCGACACUGUAGCACUGGAGAAGGCAGACUCUGGGAUCCCUCACUUCUUUUCAAGCAAGACCAACGGCAAAACUCUGGAUCUUGUUUCUGCCUAUAAUAUGAAUUCCCCAUAACUGCCAUUUUCCCUGUUUUGCUGCUUUGAGUUCAAUAGAAAUCACAAUUAGGUUUUCAGUUGUAGACAUCUGUCUUGGAGAUGAACUGAAGUGCUAGGUUUGUUUUAGAUGGAAUUAUAAGCAAAUAAAGAGAGAGGGGAUCUUCCA
rnacentral:lncRNA from 1 species